rnacentral:lncRNA from 10 species
CCGCGCCUGAAGCUCAACUUCCGAGGCUCUCAUCAAUCUACGCUUCCUUUGGAGCGUGCAGCCACCAGGUGGCAGCCGAGGCCACGGGCAGACAGAAAAGCUCCCGAAACUGAAGGACUGCCAGGCAGCAGAGUUCCGGAGGGCUCCCAGGACCUUCAACCAGAAAGAGACAGAGCAUAUGCGCAUAUGGAGCUCCCAGACCCAGGGCAGGAGCAGGAUGCAGACAAGUAGACAGCACCCUGGGGCCUGCAAGGAAUGUACUAUAGAGCCAAUUUUACCGGCAAAGGAAUGGAAGAUCUGAAAGGCUAGGCGAUCCCACAAGCAUCGAGGAGCAGGCUGGAAUUUGAACCAAUCGGCAUGAUUCCCAAGCUCAAGCUUUUGGCCACCCCUGCACUGCCAGGGACAAAAAAAAAAAAAAAAAAAAACCCUGGGAGGAGAGCCAAGCUAGGGAGUCAAGACCCUCCAGCCAGGUCUGGAUGGGAGGCAGGUGCCUCCACCCUGGUCCCAGAGCAAGUUCUGCUGGCUUCAGCCACCU